rnacentral:rRNA from 1 species
UACGUAGGGUGCGAGCGUUAAUCGGAAUUACUGGGCGUAAAGCGUGCGCAGGCGGUUCGUUAUGUCCGAUGUGAAAGCCCCGAGCUCAACUUGGGAAUGGCAUUGGAAACUGGCGGGCUGGAGUGUGGCAGAGGGGGGUGGAAUUCCACGUGUAGCAGUGAAAUGCGUAGAGAUGUGGAGGAACACCGAUGGCGAAGGCAGCCCCCUGGGCCAACACUGACGCUCCGGCACGAAAGCGUGGGGAGCAAACAGG